GAUGAACGCUGGCGGCGCGCCUAAUACAUGCAAGUCGAGCGAACAGAUGAGGAGCUUGCUCCUCUGACGUUAGCGGCGGACGGGUGAGUAACACGUGGAUAACCUACCUAUAAGACUGGGGUAACUUCGGGAAACCGGAGCUAAUACCGGAUAAUAUAUUGAACCGCAUGGUUCAAUAGUGAAAGACGGUUUUGCUGUCACUUAUAGAUGGAUCCGCGCCGCAUUAGCUAGUUGGUAAGGUAACGGCUUACCAAGGCAACGAUGCGUAGCCGACCUGAGAGGGUGAUCGGCCACACUGGAACUGAGACACGGUCCAGACUCCUACGGGAGGCAGCAGUAGGGAAUCUUCCGCAAUGGGCGAAAGCCUGACGGAGCAACGCCGCGUGAGUGAUGAAGGUCUUCGGAUCGUAAAACUCUGUUAUUAGGGAAGAACAAAUGUGUAAGUAACUAUGCACGUCUUGACGGUACCUAAUCAGAAAGCCACGGCUAACUACGUG
rnacentral:rRNA from 1 species